CCUACGGGUGGCUGCAGUGGGGAAUAUUGCACAAUGGGCGGAAGCCUGAUGCAGCGACGCCGCGUGAGGGAUGACGGCCUUCGGGUUGUAAACCUCUUUCAGCAGGGACGAAGCGUAAGUGACGGUACCUGCAGAAGAAGCACCGGCUAACUACGUGCCAGCAGCCGCGGUAAUACGUAGGGUGCGAGCGUUGUCCGGAAUUACUGGGCGUAAAGAGCUCGUAGGCGGUUUGUCACGUCGUCUGUGAAAUCCUAGGGCUUAACCCUGGACGUGCAGGCGAUACGGGCUGACUUGAGUACUACAGGGGAGACUGGAAUUUCUGGUGUAGCGGUGGAAUGCACAGAUAUCAGGAAGAACACCGAUGGCGAAGGCAGGUCUCUGGGUAGUAACUGACGCUGAGGAGCGAAAGCAUGGGUAGCGAACAGGAUUAGAUACCCUAGUAGUC
rnacentral:rRNA from 1 species